GUAGGUGGCAAGCGUUGUCCGGAAUUAUUGGGGCGUAAAGCGCGCGCAGGCGGUUCUUUAAGUCUGAUGUGAAAGCCCACGGGCUCAACCGUGGAGGGUCAUUGGAAACUGGAGAACUUGAGUACAGAAGAGGAAAGCGGAAUUCCACGUGUAGCGGUGAAAUGCGUAGAGAUGUGGAGGAACACCAGUGGCGAAGGCGGCUUUCUGGUCUGCAACUGACGCUGAGGCGCGAAAGCGUGGGGAGCAAACAGGAUUAGAUACCCUGGUAGUCCACGCCGUAAACGAUGAGUGCUAAGUGUUAGGGGGUUUCCGCCCCUUAGUGCUGCAGCUAACGCAUUAAGCACUCCGCCUGGGGAGUACGGCCGCAAAGGCUG
rnacentral:rRNA from 1 species